rnacentral:rRNA from 1 species
GACGAACGCUGGCGGCGUGCUUAACACAUGCAAGUCGAGCGGUAAGGCCCUUUCGGGGGUACACGAGCGGCGAACGGGUGAGUAACACGUGGGUGACCUGCCCUUAGCUCUGGGAUAAGCCUGGGAAACUGGGUCUAAUACCGGAUAUGACUCCAUGACGCAUGUUGUGGGGUGGAAAGCCUUGUGCGGCUAGGGAUGGGCCUGCGGCCUAUCAGCUUGUUGGUGGGGUGAUGGCCUACCAAGGCGACGACGGGUAGCCGGCCUGAGAGGGCGACCGGCCACACUGGGACUGAGACACGGCCCAGACUCCUACGGGAGGCAGCAGUGGGGAAUCUUGCGCAAUGGGCGAAAGCCUGACGCAGCGACGCCGCGUGGGGAUGACGGCCUGGUGUAAC